AGUGAACGCUGGCGGUAGGCCUAACACAUGCAAGUCGAACGGCAGCACAGUAAUAGCUUGCUCUUACGGGUGGCGAGUGGCGGACGGGUGCGGAAUACAUCGGAAUCUACUUUUUCGUGGGGGCUAACGUAGGGAAACUUACGCUAAUACCGCAUACGACCUACGGGUGAAAGCAGGGGAUCUUCGGACCUUGCGCGAUUGAAUGAGCCGAGGUCGGAUUAGCUAGUUGGCGGGGUAAAGGCCCACCAAGGCGACGAUCCGUAGCUGGUCUGAGAGGAUGAUCAGCCACACUGGAACUGAGACACGGUCCAGACUCCUACGGGAGGCAGCAGUGGGGAAUAUUGGACAAUGGGCGCAAGCCUGAUCCAGCCAUGCCGCGUGGGUGAAGAAGGCCUUCGGGUUGUAAAGCCCUUUUGGUGGGAAAGAAAAGCAGCAGGUUAAUACCCCGCUGUUCUGACGGUACCCAAAGAAUAAGCACCGGCUAACUUCGUG
rnacentral:rRNA from 1 species